GAGUUCACUCGGCACGCAUGC
rnacentral:miRNA from 1 species